CCUGUGACCAGGGCCCGCACUAAGUCGUGACCCGUGUCUGCAAAAAAGCCUAAACUUAACCUGGCUUAAGAGCUACCACAGGUGCUGGAUUCUUCUAGGAAAUCUGUCACGUCGGCUUGGUCUCUCUUCGUUGUAAACACUGAUAACUGGAACCAGAACUUGAUGAAGAAAUGCAGAUUCCAGAAUCUUGGACAGAAAAUUUACAAGUUGAGAAGUAGCAAAUAUGAAGUGACAACCACGUUACUGUACAUGGAGUUAUUUAGAGGCCAAGAUGAUUUGUUUCCUGAUAAUCAUUU